rnacentral:lncRNA from 1 species
GACAUAAGCAACACUCCCCUGGCCUCAUAAUGCCCCACUCUGGGAUGUGCUUAGGUGGGAGCGAGUUUGCUGUUCAGACAGGUCAGCAGUGAUGGAGGGAAUGAAUGGAGAAACUAAAUACAUCUCCCCAGAAGGAGAAGACUUGGCAUGGGAGGAGGGAGAACAGGGCUGCCGGUGGCAAACAGCAUAUCCAAAGAAGAGAGGUAGACUGUCUGUGGUCGGGGACCCCCCUGUGGCUGAGCCAUCGGCAGUGGGUGGAUGCCAAAGGCGGUCGGACUUGGGUUCAGAUAAGUCCACUUGGAGGAGUGAGUUCCCCGUCAAGAGAGGAUCUUCAUCUAGAAGAUAGAAUAAUACGAGUUCAAAGAACCACAUGGGACCAUGGACAAGUGCUCUGCAAACAAGGAAGGGGCUGCUGCUUCUUGCAUCCUUGUAACGGUCCUGAGCCCACAGGGCAGGGACAGCGUGGUUCCAUGCACCAUUUCCAGUUACUCCCACAGAACAGAAGUUUGUGUCACCAGUCAACAUCCUGGGGACUGUCUGACCCUGUUCCACUUCUCUCGUUGGUCAUUUCUUAAACUCCGACUGAACAUUGAUGAUGAGUCCAACACAGAGCGGAUGCCUGGCGGCAGGAGGGUCAAGAGCUGAGCUAAAGAGACAAUCCAGGACAUGGUACAGGGUACCAGGCUCAUUUCACAGAGCACACAGACCUCUUGGCCAGAGGCUACUGGGGGGCCCGGAGAGGAGCCCCCGGCUGGAGGUAGCCACUGGCAUUUCAGUCUUACUUCUGACACCUCCCACCACGUGACCUCCAGUAAGACACUUGCUCCUCUGAACCCACUUCCAGAGGGAUGAGACAAGACGACACGCGCCAGAUCUCACGGGCCAUCCCCCUCUGCAUUAUCUGGUCUUCCCAUCAGCUUUUGCGACAACUGGCCUCUCUCUGCCUAGAAGCACGUUCUCUGCUUGUCCCCCGGGACCCUGUACCCUCCUCAGCAGCUCCCGAGGGGGCAGCAUAGACAGGCUCUUCCUGGGCACCUCGGUGUUGUGUGGGGUGGACAGCCUAUUCUUUGAGCUCCUCCUGGGUAACUGGGGUGGACAGGUGACUCCCUUCGUUUCUGUGGCCAAGUCUUAACCUUUGCACAAUCUUUGGAGGUCUGGAUCUGACAUUGGAUUGGAAUUCCUGUGCAGAGCAAGAAUUCACUUGGGCCAGCCCCUUAAAACGGGUCUCUUUGGUAGUGACUGGAUAGGAAAUGUCCUGGGGCUGCCCAGGAAUUCCAGAACAUUCCAUACGGUGACAUUGGGUAGGGGGUUGUUGCCCUGCCUUUUGAAGAGAGUCCCAGAGUCCUGCCUCACACCCAUUUCACAGCUGAGGAGACUGAGGCAUGCCAAGUAUAACUUGCCCAACAUCCCAUGGUAUGAAUCCACCACAGAACUGGGUCUAGGCGGUCUGGCUCCAGAGCCCGCCCCGGUUAUCCAAGGUAAUCAACCACAAAACUCUCUUCAGCCUGUCCCUCCUGCAUCCAAAUCUUCAGGAACUCAGCUCCCGCCUUGCCCAUUCCAGUCCCAAAGGCCUCAGAGCACCCUCUGAAUGUCCGGGGGAAGGUGCUGGAGACCGAGAAGAAAUUGCAUUGGUCUCUGGGGCCCUGGGCGGCUCAGUCAAGCCAGUGGCUGCCUUUGGCUCAGGUCAUGAUCCCAGGCUCCCCCGACAGAGCCCCACAUCCAGCUCCCUGCUCUGCGGAGGGUCUGCUUCUCCCUCUGCUCCUGCCCCCACUUGUGCACGCACACG